rnacentral:rRNA from 1 species
GAGAGUUAAACAGUACGUGAAAUUGUUGAAAGGGAAACGAUUGAAGCCAGUCGUACCUUCGGGUAAUCAGCCUUUCGGGUGCGAUUCUGUGGAGUUUGAGGAGCUUUAACACCUUCAUGCUUUGCAUAUUCGUGCUCUUGGGUGUACUUGCCCGUGUGGUUGGUUAACAUCAAUUUCGGACGUCAUAAAAUGAUUGGAGGAAUGUAGCUUUGAUCUCGUAUCGAAGUGUUAUAGCCUUUGGUAGAUGUGACGAUUGGGAUUGAGGAUUGCAACGGAUACCCCUCGGGGCUACCCGUCUGAUCUCUGAAGGUUACUCCGGUGCUGAAAGCGUGCUUAUGGUUAUCGGAAGUGAUUUUCAAAAGGUUAGAACGGGUUAAAUUCGUUAAGGAUGUUGACGUAAUGGCUUUAAACGA